GGACCCGCACAAGUAGUGGAGCAUGUGGUUUAAUUCGAAGAUACGCGCAGAACCUUACCAACACUUGACAUGUUCGUCGCGACUUUAAGAGAUUAAAGUUUUCGGUUCGGCCGGACGAAACACAGGUGCUGCAUGGCUGUCGUCAGCUCGUGUCGUGAGAUGUUGGUUAAGUCCCGCAACGAGCGCAACCCUCACUUUUAGUUGCCAUCAUUAAGUUGGGCACUCUGAAAGAACUGCCAGUGAUAAGCUGGAGGAAGGUGGGGAUGACGUCAAGUCCUCAUGGCCCUUACGUGUUGGGCUACACACGUGCUACAAUGUAGUGACAAUGGGCAGCCACUCCGCGAGGAGGCGCAAA
rnacentral:rRNA from 1 species